AACGAACGCUGGCGGCAGGCUUAACACAUGCAAGUCGAACGAAGCCUUCGGGUUUAGUGGCGGACGGGUGAGUAACGCGUGGGAACGUGCCCUUUGGUUCGGAAUAGCCCCGGGAAACUGGGAGUAAUACCGGAUAAGCUCUACGGAGGAAAGAUUUAUCGCCAAAGGAUCGGCCCGCGUUGGAUUAGGUAGUUGGUGGGGUAAUGGCCUACCAAGCCGACGAUCCAUAGCUGGUUUGAGAGGAUGAUCAGCCACACUGGGACUGAGACACGGCCCAGACUCCUACGGGAGGCAGCAGUGGGGAAUCUUAGACAAUGGGCGCAAGCCUGAUCCAGCCAUGCCGCGUGAGUGAUGAAGGCCCUAGGGUUGUAAAGCUCUUUCACCGGUGAAGAUAAUGACGGUAACCGGAGAAGAAGCCCCGGCUAACUUCGUGCCAGCAGCCGCAGUAACAC
rnacentral:rRNA from 1 species